GGUGUACCAAAGAGAGAGAAAAAACCAAGAGUGAGAAAGUUUUCAUAAAGUUCUUAGCUUUUCUUAAAGUUCUUAGUUUCCAAAGUUUGCAAGUUACUUAAAAAAAAAAGUGUAUGAAAAGUGUGAAAAGUUUUCUUAAUUCUUCAUUUUUCGGUAUCUGUCAAGUCUUCAGGGGACCCCCGAAAGGGCCUCACUUCUUCCUUAAGACAUAUAAUUUACAGGUGGUGGUAGAUGAAUGUCGGUCGGCUUUGAAUUUUUUUUUGGGUAAAGGUUAGGCUUAAUUGUAUUAUUUUUAUAUCUCUGUUUUGAGAAUUUUUUUUUUGUGUAAAGGUAGAGUUUAGUUGUAUUAUUUUGAUAUAUUGUCUUAUUAUUUUGUUAUAGUUUACAGGUGGUAGAUGAGUGUCAGACGGCUUUGAGAAAAUUUUUGUGUAAGGUUAGAUUUAAUUAUAUUGUUUUUAUAUCUCUAUCAUCGUAUUAUUUUGUUGCAGUUUACAGGUUGGAGAUGAAUGUCGAUCGGCUUUGAGAAUUAUUUUUUUUUUGUAAAAGUUAGGUUUAAUUAAUUAAACUCUCCAAAAACUGUUGAAUUUAUUUAUCGUAUUCAUCUUUAUUAUUUAAACAAAUAUCCUAACGUUUAAUAUAAUAUAGUAUAUAAUAAUUAUUAUUAAUAUUAAUAAUUUAUAGUUAUAUCUAUAUCUAUAUCUAUAAUCUAUUAUAUAUUAAAAGUGUGAAGACCUUUACAAAAGUGAUUUGAACUUUUGUCCUUCAUUAAAAGACCCUCCUUUAGACAAAACUAUCUUUUCACUAUUUUCUUCAAUUUAUUAUUUAAUUAUUUUUAUUAUAUUAACUAAACUCCUAAAAUAGGAUUCUUAAAACAUAUGGAAGGAGAAUCAAUUAAUAUUUUCAUUAGAGAAAUACUCCUAAAAUAGGAUAGAUAAAUACUCAUAAAAUAGGACUCUAUUAAGAAAAUAAUUCUAUAAAUAUUGAGAUGAACGUUAAACUAGAGAAAAAACUGAUUUACUUAUUGUGAAAAUAUGAUUGAUGCUCAUCUAACUUGAUUCAGUUGCAUGUCUAGAUUGAUGGAUGCUUAAUUUUCUAACCGUCAACUUCUUCACUAUUUUUGUCAAUAUAAUAGAAUUCAACGUGUGUGUAUAUAUAUGUCUUCUUUAUUUUCAUUCAACUCAUUCUUUAGUGUCAAAAUUUUUGCUCAGACAAGAAUUAUUUUCAUUAAAACUGAAGCUUCGUGAUCAUUGUUGUAUUAUUUUGUUGAAGUUUACAGGUAAUUUACAGGUGGUAGAUGAAUGUCGGUCGACUCUUUUAAUUUAAAAAAAAAUGUCGGUUGACUUUAAGAAAUUAUUUUAGGUAAAGGUUAGGUUUAAUUGUAUUAUUUUUAUAUCUCUGUUUUGAGAAUUCUUUUUGAGUAAAGAUAAAAUUAGUUGUAUUAUUUUGAUAUCUCUAUUGUCUUAUUAUUUUGUACAGUUUACAGGUGCUAGAUGAGUGUCAGACGACUUUGAGAAAAUUUUUGUGUAAAAGUUAGAUUUAAUAUAUUGUUUUGAUG